GACGAACGCUGGCGGCGUGCUUAACACAUGCAAGUCGAGCGGAAAGGCUCCUUCGGGGGUACUCGAGCGGCGAACGGGUGAGUAACACGUGAGUAAUCUGCCCUGUGCUCUGGGAUAGCCACCGGAAACGGUGAUUAAUACCGGAUACAACCACUAUAGGCAUCUGUUGGUGGUGGAAAGUUUCUUCGGCACAGGAUGUGCUCGCGGCCUAUCAGCGUGUUGGUGAGGUAAUGGCUCACCAAGGCUUUGACGGGUAGCCGGCCUGAGAGGGUGACCGGUCACACUGGGACUGAGACACGGCCCAGACUCCUACGGGAGGCAGCAGUGGGGAAUAUUGGACAAUGGGCGGAAGCCUGAUCCAGCAACGCCGCGUGAGGGAUGACGGCCUUCGGGUUGUAAACCUCUUUCAGUACCGACGAAGCGCAAGUGACGGUAGGUACAGAAGAAGGACCGGCCAACUACGUGCCAGCAGCCGCAGUAAUAC
rnacentral:rRNA from 1 species